rnacentral:snRNA from 1 species
AGCUUUGCGCAGUGGCAGUAUCAUAGCGAAUGAGGUUUAUCCGAGGCGCAAUCAUUGCUAAUUGAAAAUCCUAGGGGGCUGGGGAUUUAGCUCAGCGGCACAGCGCCUGCCUGGCAAGCGCAAGGUCGUGAGUUCGGUACCCGGUACCGG